rnacentral:rRNA from 1 species
GAUGAACGCUGGCGGCGUGCCUAAUACAUGCAAGUCGAGCGAACAGACGAGGAGCUUGCUCCUUUGACGUUAGCGGCGGACGGGUGAGUAACAUGUGGGUAACCUACCUAUAAGACUGGGAUAACUUCGGGAAACCGGAGCUAAUACCGGAUAAUAUUUCGAACCGCAUGGUUCGAUAGUGAAAGAUGGCUCUGCUAUCACUUAUAGAUGGACCUGCGCCGUAUUAGCUAGUUGGUAAGGUAACGGCUUACCAAGGCAACGAUACGUAGCCGACCUGAGAGGGUGAUCGGCCACACUGGAACUGAGACACGGUCCAGACUCCUACGGGAGGCAGCAGUAGGGAAUCUUCCGCAAUGGGCGAAAGCCUGACGGAGCAACGCCGCGUGAGUGAUGAAGGUCUUCGGAUCGUAAAACUCUGUUAUUAGGGAAGAACAAACGUGUAAGUAACUGUGCACGUCUUGACGGUACCUAAUCAGAAAGCCACGGCUAACUACGUG